GAGCAGGUACGAAAGUAGGUUCUAGUGAUCCGGGGUUCUGUAUGGAAGGGCCAUCGCUCAACGGAUAAAAGGUACUCCGGGGAUAACAGGCUGAUACCGCCCAAGAGUUCACAUCGACGGCGGUGUUUGGCACCUCGAUGUCGGCUCAUCACAUCCUGGGGCUGAAGCCGGUCCCAAGGGUAUGGCUGUUCGCCAUUUAAAGUGGUACGCGAGCUGGGUUUAGAACGUCGUGAGACAGUUCGGUCCCUAUCUGCCGUGGGCGUUUGAGAUUUGAGAAGAGUUGCUCCUAGUACGAGAGGACCGGAGUGAACGAACCUCUGGUGUACCGGUUGUGAUGCCAAUUGCAUUGCCGGGUAGCUACGUUCGGACGGGAUAACCGCUGAAAGCAUCUAAGCGGGAAGCCUCCUUCAAGAUGAGAUCUCACUGGGAACUUGAUUCCCCUAAAGGGCCGUUUAAGACUAAGACGUUGAUAGGCUGGGUGUGGAAGCGUUGUGAGGCGUUGAGCUAACCAGUACUAAUUGCCCG
rnacentral:ncRNA from 1 species